AUGAGGAGCGGCAGAGUCCCUGGACGAGGAGGCGGUGACGGUCGUGGUGGAGAGACCGCCGCCCUCCUGUGCGGCCUCCUGCUCUUGCUCGGCGCCGCCGACGCGCAGGGCAUCCGGCGCCCCUCUUCCUACAAAACCUUACGAGGUGAUGCUCCCCUUGUGAUCGCCAAAGGUGGAUUUUCAGGAGUAUUUCCUGAUUCCAGUUAUGGCGCGUUUUCUUUCGCAUUGCUUGCUAGUGCACCUGAUACAAGUCUGUGGUGUGAUGUGCAACUCACAAAGGAUGGUGUUGGAAUUUGCCUUCGGGAUAUAAAUAUGUCAAACUGCACCAAUGCUGCACAAGUCUACCCUGCGAAAAAUAAAAAAGAGGCAAAAUAUGUUAUCGAUGGCGUGCCAAAAACUGGAUACUUCUCUCUGGACUUCACCUUGUCUGAGAUUCAAACGACAAUUUCUUUAACACAGGGGAUUUAUUCUCGCACUGAAAGGUUUGAUACCAUGUAUUAUAUCCUUUCCGUGACAGACUUUCAGUCCAAUGUCAAGCCGCCUUCUGUUUGGUUGAAUGUUCAGCGUGACAUAUUCUAUAAGCAACAUGGUUUGAACAUGAGAAGCUACAUAGUUUCCAUCCUAAAGAGUGUCCCUGUCAAGUAUAUUUCAUCACCUGAGUUGGGUUUCCUCAAAAGUAUAUCUAAAAGAGUUGGCGGCAGAACAAAGCUUGUGUUUCGCUUUCCUGAUAACUUUCUCUCCGAUCCUUCUACAAACCAAACUUACAGCUCACUGUCGAAGAACCUAACAUUUAUUAAGACCAUUGCUUCUGGUAUCAUGGUCCCCAAGACCUACAUCUGGCCAGUGACGAAUGAUAACUAUCUGGAGCCUCCAACAUCUUUUGUCCAAGAUGCCCACAGUGCAGGGCUAGAAAUAUAUGCAUCUGACUUCGCAAAUGAUAGAAUUAUUCCCUAUAACUACAGUUAUGAUCCCUUGCAAGAAUACCUAUCAUUUAUAAGUGAUGGCGGCUUCUCUGUGGAUGGUGUAUUAACAGACUACCCUAUUACUGCAUCCGAGGCUAUUGGCUGUUUUGCUGACUUGAAUGCAAGUAAGGCGGAUCAUGGGAAACCUUUAAUCAUUUCACAUAAUGGUGCCAGUGGAGACUACCCAGAUUGUACUGAUCUUGCCUACCAGAAUGCAAUUAAGGAUGGUGCUGACGUGAUUGACUGUGUCCUUCAAGUGACAAAAGAUCGAGUUCUUAUUUGCAUGAGUUCCAUCAACCUGCUCGAGACCACCAAUGUUCAGAUGACACCUUUCAGUUCCCGUACAUCUGUCAUUCCUGAAGUUCGGGGUACACCAGGGAUUUUUACAUUCAACCUUACUUGGAAUGACAUUAGCGAUAGUUCUUUGAAACCCAAGAUAUCUAGCCCAUUGAGUACCUACUAUCUUGUAAGAAACCCGAGAUACACAAAUAAUGGGAAGUUUGUCAAGUUCUCGGACUUUCUGGAAUUUGGAAAGGAUCAGGAUUUGUCUGGCAUCAUGAUCAUUAUCGAGAAUGCCGCAUUUAUGGCGAAGUCAUUAGGAUUUGAUGUUCUCGAGUCCCUAACCACUGCCUUAAAUGAUGCUGGCUAUAAUAAUCAAACUACCAAGGAAGUCAUGAUCCAGUCAACAGAUAGUGCUGUUCUUGUGAAAUUGAAGCAGCAGAAAGCAAAAUACAAGCUUGUUUACACUCUCCCGUCAGGCAUUGGGUCUGCUUCUGUUUCCUCACUAACAGAUGUUAAGGAGUUUGCUGAGGCUGUAGUUGUCGACAGGAGUUCUUUCUUUGCACAAAGUGUGCAUUUUAUCAUCAACCACACCAGCCUUUUGACAGAUCUGCAGUCCGCAGGACUAACGGUAUACGCGCAGGUGUUCCGCAACGAGUUUGUAUCACAACCUUGGGACUUCUUCGGAGAUGAAACAGUGGAAAUUAAUAGCUAUGCCCAGUCGCUUAAAGUCGAUGGCUUAAUCACUGACUUCCCCAAGACAGUGAGGAGAUACAAGAGGAAUUCUUGUACGGGUUUGGGAAAUGACGUGCCCUCCUACAUGGGGAACGUUACUGUCGGUGGCCUGGCGCAACUACUCAAGAAUCAAGCCGCUCCUCAGGCCCAGCCGCCAUCUGUGGCACCAAUGCCAAAAUUGGACGCAUCAAGCGUGCAGCAGCCGCCAUUCCCCCCUGUCGCGCCCAAGAAUGCACCUUUUGGUGCCGGCCCACCUCCUGGUUCAUCGCCUUCUGCUGCUCACAAGACGGCUGUAAGCACCUGCAUUCUGCUGGUAGUGGCAUGUGCAACUCUUCUGCUUUGA
rnacentral:rRNA from 1 species